AUGGCGCGGUCGGAGCAGCAGGGGCUGCAGGUGCUGAGCGCGCUGGACGCGGCCAAGACGCAGUGGUACCACUUCACGGCCAUCGUCGUCGCCGGCAUGGGCUUCUUCACCGACGCCUACGACCUCUUCUGCAUCUCCCUCGUCACCAAGCUCCUCGGCCGCAUCUACUACACCGACCUCUCCAAGCCCGACCCCGGCACGCUGCCCCCCGGCGUCGCCGCCGCCGUCAACGGCGUCGCCUUCUGCGGCACGCUCGCCGGCCAGCUCUUCUUCGGCUGGCUCGGCGACAAGAUGGGCCGCAAGAGCGUCUACGGCAUGACGCUCAUUCUCAUGGUCAUCUGCUCCAUCGGCUCCGGCCUCUCCUUCGCGCACACACCCAAGAGUGUCAUGGCCACGCUCUGCUUCUUCCGCUUCUGGCUCGGCUUCGGCAUCGGCGGCGACUACCCGCUCUCCGCCACCAUCAUGUCCGAGUACGCCAACAAGAAGACCCGCGGCGCCUUCAUCGCCGCCGUCUUCGCCAUGCAGGGCUUCGGCAUCCUCGCCGGCGGCAUCGUCACCCUCAUCAUCUCCUCCGCCUUCCGCGCCGGGUUCCACGAGCCGGCCUACCAGGACGACCGCGUCGCCUCCACCGGCACCGAGGCCGACUUCGUGUGGCGCAUCAUCCUCAUGCUCGGCGCCCUCCCGGCCCUGCUCACCUACUACUGGCGGAUGAAGAUGCCCGAGACGGCCCGCUACACCGCACUCGUCGCCAAGAACGCCAAGCUCGCCGCCGCCGACAUGUCCAAGGUGCUGCAGGUGGAGCUGGAGGACGAGACGGAGAAGAUGGACGAGCUCGUGAGCCGCGGCGGAGCCAACGACUUCGGGCUCUUCUCGCCGCAGUUCGCGCGGCGGCACGGCCUCCACCUGGUGGGCACGGCCACCACGUGGUUCCUGCUGGACAUCGCCUUCUACAGCCAGAACCUGUUCCAGAAGGACAUCUUCACGAGCAUCAACUGGAUCCCCAAGGCGCGCACCAUGAGCGCCCUCGACGAGGUCUUCCGCAUCUCCCGCGCGCAGACCCUCAUCGCCCUCUGCGGCACCGUGCCCGGAUACUGGUUCACCGUCUUCCUCAUCGACGUCGUCGGCCGCUUCGCCAUCCAGCUCAUGGGCUUCUUCAUGAUGACCGUCUUCAUGCUCGGCCUCGCCGUGCCCUACCACCACUGGACCACGCCCGGCAACCAGAUCGGCUUCGUCGUCAUGUACGCCUUCACCUUCUUCUUCGCCAACUUCGGCCCCAACGCCACCACCUUCGUCGUGCCCGCCGAGAUCUUCCCCGCCAGGCUGCGCUCCACGUGCCACGGCAUCUCCGCCGCCGCGGGCAAGGCCGGCGCCAUGAUCGGCGCGUUCGGGUUCCUCUACGCGGCGCAGGACCCGCACAAGCCCGACGCCGGGUACAGGCCGGGCAUCGGCGUGCGCAACUCCCUCUUCGUGCUGGCCGGGGUCAACCUGCUGGGCUUCAUGUUCACCUUCCUCGUGCCGGAGGCCAACGGGAAGUCGCUCGAGGAGAUGUCCGGCGAGGCCCAGGACAACGAAGACCAGGCACGCGCCGCCGCCGUGCAGCCGUCCACGGCGUAG
rnacentral:rRNA from 1 species